GAUGAACGCUAGCGGCAGGCUUAAUACAUGCAAGUCGAGGGGCAGCAGGGGUGUAGCAAUACACUCGCUGGCGACCGGCAAACGGGUGCGGAACACGUACGCAACUUACCCAAAACUGGGGAAUAGCCCGGGGAAACCCGGAUUAAUACCUCGUAACAUAAUGAAGUGGCAUCACUUUAUUAUUAUAGCUCCGGCGGUUUUGGAUGGGCGUGCGCCUGAUUAGGUAGUUGGCGGGGUAACGGCCCACCAAGCCUGCGAUCAGUAACUGGUGUGAGAGCACGACCAGUCACACGGGCACUGAGACACGGGCCCGACUCCUACGGGAGGCAGCAGUAAGGAAUAUUGGUCAAUGGACGCAAGUCUGAACCAGCCAUGCCGCGUGAAGGAUGAAGGUCCUCUGGAUUGUAAACCUCUUUUAUAUGGGACGAAACCUUCUUUUUCUAGAGAGACUGAC
rnacentral:rRNA from 1 species